UGAACGCUGGCGGCGUGCCUAAUACAUGCAAGUCGAACGAAGAGCUUCUGGUAAUUUAUUAUUGGAUGUCUCUUAGUGGCGAACGGGUGAGUAACGCGUUGGUGACCUGCCCCGAAAUGUGGGAUAACUCCGGGAAACUGGAGCUAAUACCGCAUGUGGUCUGUGGAUUUAGAAACCACUGACUAAAGGUCUUCGGAUCGUUUCGGGAGGGGCCUGCGUCCCAUCAGCUAGUUGGUAGGGUAAUGGCCUACCAAGGCGACGACGGGUAGGGGACCUGAGAGGGUGAUCCCCCACAAUGGAACUGAAACACGGUCCAUACAUCUACGGAUGGCAGCAGUAGGGAAUAUUGCCCAAUGGACGAAAGUCUGAGGCAGCAACGCCGCGUGUGCGAUGAAGGCCUUCGGGUUGUAAAGCACUUUUCUGAGGGAAGAGGAAGGACGGUACCUCAGGAAUAAGUCUCGGCUAACUAC
rnacentral:rRNA from 1 species